AGAGUUUGAUUAUGGCUCAGGAUGAACGCUGGCGGCGUGCCUAACACAUGCAAGUCGAGCGAAGCGCUUAUUUCAGAUUUCUUCGGAAUGACGAAGUUUGUGACUGAGCGGCGGACGGGUGAGUAACGCGUGGGCAACCUGCCCUGUACAGGGGGAUAACAGUUAGAAAUGACUGCUAAUACCGCAUAAGCCCACAGCUUCGCAUGAAGCAGUGGGAAAAACUCCGGUGGUACAGGAUGGGCCCGCGUCUGAUUAGCUAGUUGGUAAGGUAACGGCUUACCAAGGCGACGAUCAGUAGCCGACCUGAGAGGGUGACCGGCCACAUUGGGACUGAGACACGGCCCAA
rnacentral:rRNA from 1 species